rnacentral:rRNA from 1 species
AAGUCGUAACAAGGUUUCCGUAGGUGAACCUGCGGAAGGAUCAUUAGUGAAACACCUGAACUGCUUUUCGCCUUUCAAGGCAGAAGCUUUUCAACUCACAUCCAUAACACCUGUGAACAGUAUGAUGUGGUAACCUCUGGUUCCUGUCAAAACUUUAUAAACAUUGAAGUAACAAAAGUAGUAUUAUAAUAAUCUAAUAAAACUUUCAACAACGGAUCUCUUGGCUCUCGCAUCGAUGAAGAACGCAGCGAAAUGCGAUAAGUAAUGUGAAUUGCAGAAUUCAGUGAAUCAUCGAAUCUUUGAACGCACCUUGCGCUCUAUGGUAUUCCGUAGAGCAUGCCUGUUUGAGUGUCAUGAAAAACUAUCAACCUUGGUUUUGGUUUAUUCCAUCAUCUUGGCUUGGAUGUGGGUGUUUGCCUUUGCGAGAGGGCUCACCUUAAAUAUAUUAGCUAGAUUAGUUUGUGAAACUGGUUUGACUUGGUGUAAUAAAUAUUUCACUGAGGACAUCUUUAUGAUGGCCAUCAUUCUCAACAAUGAUCUGCUUUCCAACAUAUACAUUACCUUUAGUGUCAUGACCUUUAUUAUUUGGCCUCAAAUCAGGUAGGACUACCCGCUGAACUUAAGCAUAUCAAUAAGCGGAGGAAAAGAAACUAACAAGGAUUCCCCUAGUAACGGCGAGUGAAGCGGGAGGAGCUCAAAUUUGAAAUCUGGUGGCCUCAGGUCAUCCGAGUUGUAAUCUAUAGAAACAUUUUCCGUGCUGGCUCAUGUACAAGUCCCUUGGAACAGGGCAUCAUAGAGGGUGAGAAUCCCGUCCUUGACAUGAACCACCAGUGCUCUGUGAUAUGUUUUCAACGAGUCGAGUUGUUUGGGAAUGCAGCUCAAAAUGGGUGGUAAAUUCCAUCUAAAGCUAAAUAUUGGCGAGAGACCGAUAGCGAACAAGUACCGUGAGGGAAAGAUGAAAAGCACUUUGGAAAGAGAGUUAAACAGUAUGUGAAAUUGUUGAAAGGGAAACGAUUGAAGUCAGUCAUGUCUUUGGAAUUCAGCUGGUUUCACCAGUGUACUUUCCAAGGAUGGGGUCAACAUCAGUUUUGACUGCUGGAUAAAGUUCAGAGGAAUGUAGCACUCUUGGGUGCAUUAUAGCCUUUGUUCACAUACAGUGGUUGGGACUGAGGAACGCAGCUUGCCUUCAUGGCCGGGAUUUAUCCACGUACAAGCUUAGGAUGUUGACAUAAUGGCUUUAAACGACC